rnacentral:rRNA from 1 species
GAUGAACGCUAGCGAUAGGCUUAACACAUGCAAGUCGAGGGGCAGCAUGGUCUUAGCUUGCUAAGGCUGAUGGCGACCGGCGCACGGGUGCGUAACGCGUAUGCAACUUGCCUCACAGAGGGGGAUAACCCGUCGAAAGACGGACUAAUACCGCGUACACUCUAUGUUGGGCAUCCAAUGUAGAGGAAAUGAAAUUCGCUGUGAGAUAGGCAUGCGUCCCAUUAGCUAGUUGGUGAGGUAACGGCUCACCAAGGCGACGAUGGGUAGGGGAACUGAGAGGUUGAACCCCCACACUGGUACUGAGACACGGACCAGACUCCUACGGGAGGCAGCAGUGAGGAAUAUUGGUCAAUGGGCGAGAGCCUGAACCAGCCAAGUCGCGUGAAGGAUGACUGUCUUAUGGAUUGUAAACUUCCUUUAUACGGGAAUAACAAGAGUCACGUGUGGCUCCCUGCAUGUACCGUAUGAAUAAGCAUCGGCUAACUCCGUG